AAGCUUCUUCCCCAGAGGAAAACGCUAGUCUUUGCCAUCUCUCUUGUGCAUUGAUUUCAAUGGGAUUUAUGCUUCUGUUCUUUUAGCCAUGCUGUUUCCUCACAAUAACUUUUUUGAGUAAGUCAGUAUUUCUCUUUUGCAGACGAAUGAACCAGAAACAGUACCUCGCUUCAGGCUGCUCAGAUCAAACUUCAAACAAGAUCCUCAACCUCACACCUGAUGCUCUUUCAACUGGACCAUAUUCUCGGUCACAGACUUGUUUUUCUCUUUUCCGAAUCUAUAGCCUGACAAAUAGAAGACGUUCAAAUGGAAGACUGUAAACAGGACACGUGGUCACCAAUUUUUACAACCAUCAGCACCACAUUAACUGCCAGAACAAGUUCAGCUAUUUUUGCAUCUGAACAAUGGGGAGUGAUGGCUCAUAGAUCUAAAGGCAAGUGAAUCUGCUGAGUUUUAGCUUUAAAGAAGUUGUGCUGAACCUGUGUUGGUUGAUGUGAGUUUCAGCACUCUGGACAGCUCCAUUAAAACAAUCCAAUUGAUCUUAGAGAUACUGCUUCAUUUGAGAAUGAAAAUCCCAUCAGCUCACUCUCGGAGUUUAGAAAAACCCUCAAAAACUAAAACUUAACAAUUAAAAAUCUCUUCCCUGUACACCACACCUAAAGUUAACUGAGAUAGAUGACUGUUUCACCAUGCCCACUGGAAGGGACAUAUGUCAUGGUUGCCUUAUGAAAUGUGUCCUUAACUAACUGAUAAUCACUUUACCUAAUGGGAGAAUGACCAUGUUGGCUAGUUUAGCAUUUGCUUUUCUGUAUGUUGUGCUCCUUCUGCUUCAUGUUCUAAGAACUAAGAUGGUUCUUAGUUUACACCAACACUGAAAGGGGGCAUCUUAUGUGAUGACAAUAAGAAUCCAAGUUAUCCAUUUCAUUCAUUUCCUACCACCAGAUCAAAUCAACACGCAGAGAAUGACAGUAUAAGGAUAGUUCUUCCUGUGAUUUGGGUGGUGCUUUGUCAGCCAAUGGUUCUUCACAAUCUCAUCAUUCAGAUCUUGUUUAUAGUAUCAGCAAAAGUAGAUCAAUUAAAAGAUGUAAUUUAUCAUGUACAUGUUGACUUGCCAUUCAACAAUGUAAUGUUCCAG
rnacentral:lncRNA from 1 species